UACGUAGGUGGCAAGCGUUAUCCGGAAUUAGUGGGCGUAAAGCGCGCGUAGGCGGUUGUGUAAGUCUGAUGUGAAAGCCCAGAGCUCAACCGUGGAAGGUCAAUGGAAACUGCAAAACUAGAGUGCAGAAGAGGAAAGUGGAAUUCCAGGUGUAGCGGUGAAAUGCGUAGAGAUCUGGAGGAACACCUGUGGCGAAGGCGGCUUUCUGGGCUGUAACUGACGCUGAUGUGCGAAAGCGUGGGGAUCAAACAGG
rnacentral:rRNA from 1 species